GACGAACGCUGGCGGCGUGCUUAACACAUGCAAGUCGAACGGAAAGGCCCUGCUUUUGUGGGGUGCUCGAGUGGCGAACGGGUGAGUAACACGUGAGUAACCUGCCCUUGACUUUGGGAUAACUUCAGGAAACUGGGGCUAAUACCGGAUAGGAGCUCCUGCUGCAUGGUGGGGGUUGGAAAGUUUCGGCGGUUGGGGAUGGACUCGCGGCUUAUCAGCUUGUUGGUGGGGUAGUGGCUUACCAAGGCUUUGACGGGUAGCCGGCCUGAGAGGGUGACCGGCCACAAUGGGACUGAGAUACGGCCCAGACUCCUAUGGGAGGCAGCAGUGGGGAAUAUUGCACAAUGGGCGGAAGCCUGAUGCAGCGACGCCGCGUUCGGGAUGACGGCCUUCGGGGUGUAAACCGCUGUCGCCUGUGACGAAGCGGGAGUGACGGUAAUGGAUAAAGAAGCACCGGCUAACUACGUG
rnacentral:rRNA from 1 species